rnacentral:rRNA from 1 species
UAAAUAACAAUGUGGGGCCCUUUGGGUCUUGCAAUUGGAAUGAGAACAAUUUAAAUCCGUUAACGAGUAACAAUUGGAGGGCAAGUCUGGUGCCAGCAGCCGCGGUAAUUCCAGCUCCAAUAGCGUAUAUUAAAGUUGUUGCAGUUAAAAAGCUCGUAGUUGGACUUUUGGGUGUUGGAGAGCUGGUCUCGUCAAACAGACUGGUUAGCCAUGCCCUUUUCCAGCGGGUUCGCCCGCUAGGUUACUGUGAAGAAAUUAGAGUGUUCAAAGCAGGCGAAAGCUUGAAUACAUCAGCAUGGAAUAACAAGUUACGGCUUGUUGGUUGGCAAGUAUCCUUUUUUAAUAGGAACAGUUGGGGGCAUUGGUAUUUAGCAGUCAGAGGUGAAAUUCUUGGAUUUGCUAAAGACCAACUAGUGCGAAAGCAUCUGCCAAGGAUGUUUUCAUUAAUCAAGAACGAAAGUUAGGGGAUCGAAGACGAUCAGAUACCGUCGUAGUCUUAACUAUAAACGAUGCCGACUCGGGAUCGGCAGUUGUCGGAAUGCGACACUGUCGGGACCGUGUGUGAAAACAAAGUUUUUGGGUUCUGGGGGGAGUAUGGUCGCAAGGCUGAAACUUAAAGGAAUUGACGGAAGGGCACCACCAGGAGUGGAGCCUGCGGCUUAAUUUGACUCAACACGGGAAAACUCACCAGGUCCGGACAUGGGAAGGAUUGACAGAUUGAGAGCUCUUUCAUGAUUCUGUGGGUGGUGGUGCAUGGCCGUUCUUAGUUGGUGGAGUGAUUUGUCUGGUUAAUUCCGAUAACGAACGAGACCUUUUCCACUAACUAGUAUGUCGGUUCGAGAGAAUCGGCAACUUCUUAGCGGGACUGACUGCGGUUAGCAGUCGGAAGUUGGAGGCAAUAACAGGUCUGUGAUGCCCUUAGAUGUUCUGGGCUGCACGCGCGCUACACUGACAAAGGCAGCGAGUAUACCUGUGCCGAGAGGCAUGGGAAAUCUUGUGAAACUUUGUCGUGCUGGGGAUAGAUCAUUGCAAUUAUUGGUCUUGAACGAGGAAUUCCUAGUAAGCGCAAGUCAUCAGCUUGCGUUGAUUACGUCCCUGCCCUUUGUACACACCGCCCGUCGCUACUACCGAUUGAAUGGCUUAGUGAGGC